UUAGAGCUACUAGGGCCAUCUUGUCACCCAGUGGAAAUCAACAAAACCAACACAAAGCUAAAAGAUCUUCAUCUAGAAGUAGAUUCCUGAUGAGAUUAUUACAGCGCCUAGAUCCAGCUGUGCCUGAGGGGCAGAAUUAAAAGAUUGUAAGAAAUGCCAAGAAUGGAUUUUGUAAAACUUUCCAGCAUCUUCCCUGUGGGACCAAUCACGUUGGGAAGCCUUCUGGGAAGUCCUCCAGCACUAAGCAAAUGCUCUGAGGUGUGACUUCCGCUCACAACUCACUGGCCAGAAGUCAUCACCUGGUUUUACCCAACUGCAACGGGGCUGGAGGUGCAAUCAAAUUAUUCGUGAACUAAAGUGGCUUCAGGUCCCCCUUCCUUUUUUCUUUUAGAAUCUCACAACCCUUAAAAAUGACACAUCCCAGGAGCACCAUGUGUGGAAAUGAUCUGACCAAUAACCUUUUAGGAAACUCAGAAAAUUGUAAAGCAAGAAUAAAGACACUCCCU